rnacentral:misc_RNA from 1 species
GAACGCACCUUGCGCUCCUUGGUAUUCCGAGGAGCAUGCCUGUUUGAGUGUCAUUAAAUUCUCAACCAUUAUCAACUUUUGCUGAUACUGGCUUGGAUGUGGGGGUCUAUUUUGCUGGCUUCUCAGAUAGUCAGCUCCCCUUAAAUGCAUUAGCCGGUGCCCCGCGUGGACUGUCUAUUGGUGUGAUAAUUAUCUACGCUAUGGACAUCUGCAAUCAUAUGGGUGUGCACUGCUUCCAGCAGUCUGUUAAAGACAAUACAUGACAAUUUGACCUCAAAUCAGGUAGGAUUACCCGCUGAACUUA